rnacentral:rRNA from 1 species
GAUAAACGCUGGCGGCGUGCAUGAGACAUGCAAGUCGAACGGGUGACUCGGGCUUGCUCGAGUCGCUAGUGGCGAACGGCUGAGUAACGCGUAGGUGACCUGCCCCGAAGUGGGGAAUAACUGCCCGAAAGGGUGGCUAAUACCGCAUGUGGUCGCACGUUCAUUCGUGCGAGUAAAGCCGCAAGGCGCUUCGGGAGGGGCCUGCGUCCGAUUAGCUCGUUGGGGGGUAAUGGCUCACCAAGGCGACGAUCGGUAGGUGGUCUGAGAGGACGAUCACCCAGACUGGGACUGAGACACGGCCCAGACUCCUACGGGAGGCAGCAGUCGGGAAUUUUGCUCAAUGGGCGAAAGCCUGAAGCAGCAACGCCGCGUGAGGGAUGAAGG